rnacentral:misc_RNA from 1 species
AUAAAAUAAAAUUCUACUUCCUAAAUAAUAAUAGAAUCCUAAGUAAUAUAAACUUUUUAAUUAAUUGAAACCUAAAGUUUCUAAUUUUAGACAGUAGUAACAAAAGUUUGAUUCCCUUGAUUGCAUCAAUCCCUUCACCAAAUCUUUGUUUGACUCUUUGUAAUAUUGUGCAAGUGACAAGUGCCAAAUUAUUUAGCAAAUGUAGUAUUCUCAUUUAAUUCUGAGGUUAUUGUUUCCUAUGCGUAUUGGUGUGAUGCUUA